rnacentral:rRNA from 1 species
GUGCCGUGAUCUUGCCCUGCACUUUGGGAUAAGCCUGGGAAACUGGGUCUAAUACCGAAUAGGACCGCAUGCUUCAUGGUGUGUGGUGGAAAGCUUUUGCGGUGUGGGAUGGGCCCGCGGCCUAUCAGCUUGUUGGUGGGGUAAUGGCCUACCAAGGCGACGACGGGUAGCCGGCCUGAGAGGGUGUCCGGCCACACUGGGACUGAGAUACGGCCCAGACUCCUACGGGAGGCAGCAGUGGGGAAUAUUGCACAAUGGGCGCAAGCCUGAUGCAGCGACGCCGCGUGAGGGAUGACGGCCUUCGGGUUGUAAACCUCUUUCAGCAGGGACGAAGCGCAAGUGACGGUACCUGUAGAAGAAGCACCGGCCAACUACGUGCCAGCAGCCGCGGUAAUACGUAGGGUGCGAGCGUUGUCCGGAAUUACUGGGCGUAAAGAGCUCGUAGGUGGUUUGUCGCGUUGUUCGUGAAAACUCACAGCUCAACUGUGGGCGUGCGGGCGAUACGGGCAGACUUGAGUACUGCAGGGGAGACUGGAAUUCCUGGUGUAGCGGUGGAAUGCGCAGAUAUCAGGAGGAACACCGGUGGCGAAGGCGGGUCUCUGGGCAGUAACUGACGCUGAGGAGCGAAAGCGUGGGGAGCGAACAGGAUUAGAUACCCUGGUAGUCCACG